rnacentral:rRNA from 1 species
CUAGGAUUAGAUACCCUAUUAUUAAAAUUUAAAUUGAAAAUACUAAAAUAGUAGAUAAUUAUUUAUUGAAACUUAAAUAAUUUGGCGGUAUUUUAGUUCAUUUAGAGGAAUCUGUUUAAUAAUUGAUAAUCCACGAAUAAAUUUACUUAAUUUUUUAUUUUGUAUAUCGUUGUUAAAAAAAUAUUUUUUAAUAAUAAUAAUAUUUAAAAAUUUUGAUUAAAAAUUAAAUCAGAUCAAGAU